UACGGGGGGGGCAAGCGUUGUUCGGAAUUACUGGGCGUAAGGGGCGCGUAGGCGGCCUUCUAAGUCGGACGUGAAAUCCCUCGGCUUAACCGGGGAACUGCAUCUGAUACUGGAUGGCUUGAGUUCGGGAGAGGGAUGCGGAAUUCCAGGUGUAGCGGUGAAAUGCGUAGAUAUCUGGAGGAACACCGGUGGCGAAGGCGGCAUCCUGGACCACUACUGACGCUGAAACACGAAAAGCGUGGGUAGCAAACAGG
rnacentral:rRNA from 1 species